rnacentral:lncRNA from 1 species
AAAUCUUCAGCAGUUGUGCAUAUAAGAUAAUCGUAAGGUAUAUUAUUUUAUAUCUGUUAAUUCUAAAUUUAUUUACUUUGUUGUUUACUUACGCCUAGAUGAUAGGCUAAACUUUUACUGACGGAUUCAUAUCGUCCUAAACUAUGAACAAGAUGGUAAGUCUUGAAGUGUUCCGAUGUUUCUAUGGUCGAAAUAGUACAGUUUAAAGAUGAAAAAUCUUGGCUUUGUCGGAGUUCCUAUUUAGGCCCAUGUGAAGCCGUUGAGUAAGGCGUUGUUUGGGCUAUGUUGGAACCGUAAAAGAUUUUCCGUCCCUAAAACUGUACAAUUCGUAAAAGAUCCUGUAGUUACAUUAAAGUGAUUCUGGAUGAAGCAUUUGAUUCCAUAUGCUUAAAUUGGCAAUGGCAGCGCAGACUACCGCCAGCCAGCCAAUCUAAGAAUGGUAUCAGAGCCAUGUUGUUUAUAUGCUUAGGCGGUAUUAAUCUGUCAGUAUUCCUAUAAUGAAUCUUAUAAGAAAUCGGUCUACUGUCAAAAACAGUAGAAAAGAUGAAUAUGAUAUGCCUUAACAAUUGGAUCUCCUUAAUAGAUGGACAAUUCCUAAAAUAGAACCCAGGGUUAUAUACCAGAUGGGAACUUUUAAAAAAUUGGGUUUUAAACAAAUUGUUAAAACCACUGAAGAAACUAUCACUGUGGAUUCUGAUCAUGGCACCUUCAGAUUAUUAUCUGAAAAUGCUUUUGCCCCUUAUAGGGAUAAUUAUAAAUUUAUGCAUAUUGGCCUUGUUCAAGUUGCUUUUAAACCUCUUACUUUAAGAGGUCUACCGGAAAGCUUUAUAGCAGCUUUAAGAGAUGGUAGAAACCAAAAUUGGAAGAAGUCUCUAAUAGGGACGGUGCAAACCAGCUUGGCCUAUGGCCCUGUUUAUUUUAAUGCUUAUCCUAAUUUGCAGAUAUCUUUAAGUGAUGAAAAUUCUUUAAAUACUUCAAUAUUAAGUAUUAUGAUUAUUUACCUAGAACUGAAGUUAUAUGUAUUUGUUAUAGAAUCUAUUAUAAACCACUCUAUACUUUAAAUCCUAUGUGUAAAAUUAUGGAUCUAAAAAAUGAGACUAUUUUAAUAGAAACUAAUUUUAGUAGAUCUAAAGUUAUUACUAGACGACCUAUUAAAUGGGAUGAAAUUGAUUUUCCUAAAGAAUGGAUUAUAGAAGAAGCCGUUGCUCCUAGAAAUAAUAUGAAUUUUGAUAUUUCUGAUAUUGAACAGGCUCCUGAUGGAACGGUAAAAGUAAAAUUUACGGAUCAAAACCUGUUAAUGAGCUAUACCGAUAAUAUCGGGCUGCAGGCAAAAAUGCCUAGAUCUAAUUAUUCUUAUAUUUCUCCAGCUGAUUAUGUGGUUAAUAUACCCUCCCGAGCUUCUACAUCUCAAAUAAGAGAUGAAGAAAACUCUAGAUCUUCUACCUUUGAUAUAAAGGAAAAUGAACGAAUUGAUAAUAUCAAAAUAGAAAAUCAUAUUGUUACUCCUGAUAUGGAUGAACCCACUCUCUCUGAGAUGAAUUUUCCAAAUGGUUUUGAUGGAUCAAAAAGACAGACUUGAUUUUAGACCGGGAUCUCCGGUAAGAGAAAAGAUUUCAAAUGAAUUCUUUGAACCUAAAUGGAAACUUUUUAGAGAAUGGUUCUUUAAAAAUUUUGAUAAAAACCAAAGGACAUUUUUACAAGAUGAUUUUUAUAAAGAUCUUUGACAAGCCAAUAAGAUUAUCGCUUUUAUUCUUUGGUUUAUGACUAAAUAUAUUUAUAAAUAUAUUUGUAUGCUUGAAAGAGAUUACAAAUUGACUGAUGGGUCUAUUACUAAAUCAAUCUUGCCUCCCCAACAGUCUUUUCAAAUUGAAAAAAAUAAUAAAAUUGUUCAUUUUACAACUUUUGCAGAAUUAUUUAAUGUUGAUACUGCUUUAAUAACUACUAAACAUGUUAAAAUUCUUAUACAGCAAAAUAAUUAUACAAAUGUUUAUAUGAGCGUUUUAGGAGAACAUAUUCUUUCUUUACAUGAUAAAAUCAAUCAUAUUUGUUCUACUAUUGAAAAAUCUAAAGCCUCUGAUAAAGGCAAAGAAAAAGCUUCUGCAAGUAUCCAGCCUCCACCUGAAAUCAAAGAUUUUAAAUUAUCAAAACUUCAUAAUAUUGAGAGAUGGCUUGAAGAGAAAUAUAAAAAAGAUCUAGAACUUAGUCCUCUUAAUAUAGAGGGAAAUGAUAAUAAUACUUCUAAAAAGAGUAAUACUCUUGAUGAGAUUAAUAAAAUCUCUGAAAAACAUGCUAGAAAACCGGUCCAAAGGAUGUACUAUUAUCCUAGACCAACUCCUCAAGAUAUACUCUUGGAAGAACAAGAAUUUAUUGUGUCUAAUAGUUUCAGUGGUACUGAGAUUUACGAAUGGAAUAUUGAUGGUUUCACUGAUAGACAAAUUUAUACACUGGCUCAUAGAAUUCUUAUGUAUAGAACUAUAUGCAAAGCUAAUAAGAAUUCAGAACAAAAAACAGCAAGUAUGGUUAUUGCUGGAUUUACAGGACAAUUAAAAAGAUGGUGGGAUAAUUAUCUCACAGAAGAACAGAGGAUUACAAUUUUGAAUGCCGUAAAACAAGAAAAUGGUAAUCCAACUCCAAAUAUAGUUUAUACACUAGUUCUAACCAUCAUAGAGCAUUUCUCUGGAAGAUGGUCAGAUAAUAGUGAGACAAUUAGGACUCUUUUACAAAAUCUUAAGUGUAGAUCUCUUACUAAUUGGAGAUGGUACAAGGACACAUUCCUGUCAAGAGUAAUGGAAUUACCAAAAUGUAAUAGUUCUCAUUGGAAAUCCAAAUUCAUAGAUGGACUUCCAAACUUAUUCGCUGAAAGAAAUAAGAAAGAUCUUAGAGGGAAUAAGGUUAAUAUUAAAUAUGAACAUUAUACUUAUGGAAAGAUUAUAGCAGUUGUGGUUCAAGAAGGGCUAGCUUUAUGCAAUGAAAUACAGUUGAAUCAACAAAUCAAGAGAUAUCAUAUAAAUGAGAAGCAGCAAUUAGGAGAAUUCUGUGAACAAUUUGCUAUUGACAUCCCAAAAUCUUCAAAAAGAUCUUCUCAAAAGAAGAAAGAUAAGGACUAUACAGAUAGGUCUUAUAAACCUCAUAGGAAAAAGAAACGUUUGGAUAAACGUGAAAAUAGGAAAUCCAAAAGAUCUGAUAAAAAAUCCUUUAAGCAUAAUAAUUCGGAUGCUUGCUACAAAUGUUGAAGGGUAGGCCACUAUGCCAGAGAUUGUAGCGUUAAGGACAAAAUUAAGAGUCUUAAUUUAGAUGAUAAUAUCAACGAUUCAUUAUGUAAAAUCCUGUUAAACUCUUCACCUGAAGGAUCAGGCCAUGAUGAUAGUGGGGGAGAAGAAUCCCAUACCAGUGAGGAUUUAACGGUUCUCCAUGAUGAGAGUUACAUCUCUUCGUCAGAUGGAGAAUGUAUGCCUUGUCAAAUAGGAGAAAGCUGUGAAGACAAGCAGAAUACAGAUGAGUUUUAUAAACUCUAUUCUCAAUUCAAAGAUCUUAAUCUUAAUGUCAUUAGUAGUGAUGAUUGGAUCGAGAUGAUCAAAUUAAUAGAUGAUCCUAUAAUAAGAUCUCAAAUUAUUGACAAAAUGGGAAGUACUUCUACUAAUAAGGUAGAGUCUCCUAGAAAAGAAAUUCAGACUGAGAACACUACUUAUACAAUGGCUGAAUUAAAGAGACAACUUCAUAAGAGGUCUCAAAGGAAUAAUAUUCCAACUACAAUUCAAGAUUUAUCUGAAGAAGUUAAUAACCUUAAAAAAGAAAUUAAUGAUUUAAAAAAUAAAAAUAUUAUUCUUGAUGAAAGAAUUACAUUUGUUGAGAGUAUUAAUAAAACUCAAGAAGGUAAGCAGGCUACUGAUAAUUCUGUAGAUUCUCUUAAUAAUUUAACUCCUAAAGAUUUUACAGAAGAAAAUAAAGAAUCAUUUUUAAAAACUAUUGAGUUAAUUACAGCUCAUAAACCUCUUGCAAAAAUUUUUAUAGUUAUUGAUUAUAAUUUGAAAUGAGAUUUUAUUGCUCUUAUUGAUAGCGGAGCUGAUUUAAAUUGUAUUCAAGAAGGGUUGAUCCCUUCAAAAUAUUUUAAAAAGACUACUCAUAUUUUAAGAAAUGCUAGUGGUCAUAAGAUGUAUAUUGAUUAUAAAAUUUCCAAAGCUUAUAUUUGUACAAACAAUGUUUGCAUUCCUGAAAGUUUUGUUUUAAUAAAAGAACAUUUCAAAUGAAAUUAUUCUUGGAAUGCCUUUCUUUUGGAAAAUUUAUCCAAUUACUUCUUGGGAUCAUACUGGUAUUACUGGAAAUUUUGAGGGAAAAAGGGUUAGAAUUGAUUUUAUAUCUCCACCUUAUUCUAAAUUCAUAAAUGAAGUUAAAGAUUUAAUUUCUUUAAAGAACAAGCAAAUAGGCUUUUUGAAAAAUGAAAUUUGUAGUCUUACUAUAGAAAAAACUUUACAAAAUCCUAAAUUACAGGAAAAAAUUGAAUAUUUAAAAAAUCAAUUUUCUUUACAAAUUUGUGGUGAUCACCCAAAUGUUUUCUGGGAAAGGAAAAAACAUAUUGUUAGUCUUCCAUAUGAAGAAAAUUUCUUAGAAGAUUAUAUUCCUACUAAGGCAAGACCUUGCCAAAUGAAUUCGGAUUAUUUAGAAUUAUGUAAGAAUGAGAUUAAUAGUCUCUUACAGAAAGGUUUAAUAAGACCUUCAAAGUCACCAUGGUCUUGUACUGCUUUUUAUGUUAAUAAACAUGCAGAACAAGAAAGAGGAGUUCCUAGACUCGUUAUAAAUUAUAAACCUUUGAAUAAAGUUUUGAAAUGGAUCAGAUAUCAUAUUCCUAAUAAAAAGGAUUUACUAAAUCGUCUUCAUGAAGCUAUUAUAUUUUCAAAAUUUGACUUAAAAUCCGCUUAUUGGCAGAUUAAGAUUUCUGAAGCUGAUAAAUAUAAAACAGCAUUUAAUGUACCCAUGGGACAAUAUGAAUGGAAUGUUAUGCCAUUUGGUUUAAAAAAUGCCCCAUCAGAAUUUCAAAAAAUUAUGAAUGAUAUGUUCAAUCCUUUUAGCAAUUUUAUAAUUGUGUAUAUAGAUGAUAUUUUGAUAUUUUCUAAAAGUUUAGAAACCCAUUUCAAACAUCUUGAUUUGUUUAAGAAAAUCAUUAUUCAAAAUGGUCUGGUUAUAUCUAAACCAAAAAUGCAUAUUUUUCAAACUACUGUUAGAUUCUUGGGUCACAAUAUUGAAAAGGGAAAAAUCAUUACUAUUCGGAGAAGCAUAGAAUUUGCAUCUAUAUUCCCUGAUAUCAUUACGGAUAAAACACAGCUUCAAAGAUUUUUAGGAAGCUUGAAUUAAAUUUCUCCUUUUAUAAAGGACUGGGCAAAAGAUGCUGCUCCAUUAUAUGAAAGGCUUAAGAAAAAUGCUAAGCCAUGGACAGAGGAUCAUACGAAAGUUGUUCAACAAAUUAAAAGUAAGGUUAAUAACCUUUCAUGUCUGGGUCUAGCUAAUCCCAGUUGGAACAAGAUUGUUGAAACAGAUGCCUCUGAUAUAGGCUAUGGAGGAAUUUUAAAACAAAUCUCUCCAGAUGAUAAUAAGGAAUAUCUAAUACAAUUUUAUUUAGGAAAAUGGAAUAAUAGCCAAAGAAAUUAUGCUACCAUAAGAAAUCUUGGCUAUUGUAAAAAGUGUUCUAAAAUUUCAAGGAGACCUUUAUGAUCAAAAGUUUAUCAUAAAAGCUGAUUGUCAAGCUGCUAAAUUCAUUUUUAAUAAGGAUGUAAAACAUGAUGUUUCUAAACAGAUGUUUGCUAGAUGGCAGGCCUUAUUGACACCUUUUGAUUUCGAAAUACUUUAUAAAAAAGGAAUAGAUAAUAGUCUUCUUGAUUUUCUGACUAGAGAAUACUUAAUUAAAUAAUUCUCUUUUGCAGCAUGAUGAGGCCAUCUUGGACCUCUUCCUCUAAUAGAGGAAAGGGGAGAGGACGAGGAGGAAGGACGAACAAUAAUGUCCUAGCUCAAGUCGGAAACCAGAGGCUUAUAGCAGCAAAUAUCACAAAAACAUCUGCUCUCCAACUCGCUGCACAAAAUACGGUAAAUACAAAUUCUAUUUAUUUGGACUUGUUAUUCCUUGUCUUGUUUCAAUCGUGUUU